CACGUAGGGUGCGAGCGUUGUCCGGAAUUAUUGGGCGUAAAGAGCUCGUAGGCGGUCUGUCGCGUCUGCUGUGAAAAUCCGGGGCUCAACCCCGGACUUGCAGUGGGUACGGGCAGACUAGAGUGUGGUAGGGGAGACUGGAAUUCCUGGUGUAGCGGUGAAAUGCGCAGAUAUCAGGAGGAACACCGAUGGCGAAGGCAGGUCUCUGGGCCACUACUGACGCUGAGAAGCGAAAGCAUGGGGAGCGAACAGG
rnacentral:rRNA from 1 species